UCUUCUUCGCCCGUCGUGUGCAGGAAGGAGCUCGGAAAAAAACUGCAGCAUGCUUUUUCUAAAGAUUGAGCCGUGUUUAUGUAUAAAUAUAAUGUUUAAUGAAGACGAACCGCCAUGAACAUUUUUACGAGUAAUUAACGAGACUCGAUGUGUGGCAGUAUGGAGGCGGUCAGCAGGUUAGUUGAGCUAGUUAAUCCUAGUUAGUUAGCUGUUAGCUCUCUUUUAGCCGGGCUAACACGUGUGAAGAGACCACGCUGGCCAGGCAGCUCUGAAUCAUGUGUACUGACGCUCACCUUCAUCUCAGGACCAUUUUAAAGGUCUGUGGCUGGACUUGGCUCAAUCAGCAGCAAGACACUAAAUGGAAAAAGAUGUGACGGUGAAGAAAGACGAUCAUCAUCUUCUAUAGAGGAAACAGACGGAGUCGGAGGAGAAGCAGACGUCUGAUACUGAACGCAGGAUUUAUUAAUACAAAAAAUAACAAUGUUUCAUAAAACGAUGUAUAAAAUUCAAGUACUGAGCACCUGGAAACACCAACAUGAUCCAGCAUGUGUCGGUCAAUCAGUGGUGAAAGAUGAUCUGUAAGGUUUCUUCUUCAGAUUCUCUAGAAAGAUCUGUUCCUCCUGGAGAAAUUCCCGGUCCUGUGGGCGAGAAACGCCAGACGAGAUUUGAAUCUGUGUGUAAUCGUAUGAGCUGUGUUGACUUCAUUAAAUCCACAAGUCCUGGAAUUUAUUGAUGCCUGAAUUUGAAUUUUAUUGAGUGUUUUGAAUAAAAAGUUUAUGAAAACCUGGAA